ensembl:lncRNA
AGGAAGGUCAGUCCUGUGAGUAGGGUGUGGGUGGCACAGGCCCUGUUAGGGCAGCCGAUGGACAGAGAGCAAGAGAACAGCCAUCUUGAGUGGCCUGACCCUACAGGACACAUCUUGCUAAGGGAUGCACAAAAUAAAUCCAGACAAAACCCAGAUGCUUGCAGACAGUUCCAAGCUCUGGCGGCCGGAUGCCAAAAAGCUGAAUGCAAUUCCUGGGGCAUUUCCUUACUAUCUGAGCCACCAGGGAAGCCCCGCUUUUAUACGAGAAGUGGACAUAACUCUCCUUCUGUCAGGCCAUUCAUGUCAGACUUUGAAUCAGUCUUAUCAGAUCUGCACCCCAAGCAAAGCUUUCUCAAUGAGCCCAGCAGAGAUCCUUAGAGAAGAGCCUUCAAGUGGGGUGAAGCUGAAUCCUGUCUUUAGCCUUGGUUCCCAAGAGCCUUAUUCUUUUAUACCAGCCUACACC